rnacentral:rRNA from 1 species
UACGAAGGGGGCGAGCGUUGUUCGGAAUUACUGGGCGUAAAGGGCGCGUAGGCGGCCGAUCAAGUUAGAUGUGAAAGUCCUGGGCUUAACCUGGGGACUGCAUUUGAUACUGAUUGGCUUGAAUUCGGGAGAGGAUAGCGGAAUUCCCAGUGUAGAGGUGAAAUUCGUAGAUAUUGGGAAGAACACCGGUGGCGAAGGCGGCUAUCUGGACCGACAUUGACGCUGAGUGAACGAAAGCUAGGGGAGCAAACAGG